rnacentral:lncRNA from 1 species
UCACAGAGAUUUGGCAAGAGAGGCUGUGAGGAAAUCACUUGUACUAUUGAAGAAUGGAGAAAAUGCUGAUAGCCCUGUACUUCCACUACCCAAAAAAGCAUCCAAAAUCUUAGUUGCUGGAAGCCAUGCUAACAAUCUAGGAUUUCAAUGUGGUGGUUGGACAAUAACAUGGCAAGGACAAGGUGGCAACAACCACACUGCUGGAACCACAAUCUUUAACGGGAUCUCGACUGCAGUUCAUCCAAGUACAGAAAUCUCCUACGGUGAAAGCCCGGAUGAGGAUUUUGUAAAAUCCAAUAACUUUUCCUAUGCCGUGGUUGUGGUAGGAGAACCUCCCUAUGCUGAAUCUGAAGGUGACAAUUCAAACCUUACCAUUCCUCAACAAGGUUUGGACACAAUUAAGAAUGUUUGUGGCAGCGUCAAGUGUGUGGUUGUUCUUGUAUCCGGUCGACCUUUGGUGAUUCAGCCCUACCUUAACUCUAUCGAUGCAUUAGUGGCUGCGUAACUUUUCCUAUGCCGUGGUUGUGGUUGGAGAACCUCCCUAUGCUGAAUCUGAAGGUGACAAUUCAAACCUUACCAUUCCUCAACAAGGUUUGGACACGAUUAAGAAUGUUUGUGGCAGCGUCAAGUGUGUGGUUGUUCUUGUAUCCGGUCGACCUUUGGUGAUUCAACCCUACCUUAACUCCAUCGAUGCAUUAGUGGCUGCUUGGCUACCGGGAACAGAAGGCAACGGGGUGGCUGAUGUCCUCUUCGGGGACUAUGGGUUCACCGGGAAGUUGUCAAGAACUUGGUUCAAGACUAUAGAUCAGCUCCCCAUGAAUGUUGGUGAUUCACACUAUGAUCCACUCUUCCCCUUUGGUUAUGGAUUGACCACAGAACCAGUCACAUCAAGUUAGAUUGAUUUUCUUUUAGUUGGUAGAGUUUGUUUAGCAUCUUUUUGCUUUUAGAAUUUUUAUUUUUUAUUUUCAAAAUUUCCCUGGCUAUUGGAGAUAUUUGGCAACUUAAUCUAAUGUGGGGAUUUUUUCUUUUUCAUUCUGUGAUCUUUUGUUAUGUUAUGAUCAAUAACUCUCUUUUGUGUUUUUCA